GUCCACACCGUAAACGUUGGGCGCUAGGUGUGGGGCCUAUUACAUGGGUUCCAUGCCGCAGCUAACGCAUUAAGCGCCCCGCCUGGGGAGUACGGCCGCAAGGCUAAAACUCAAAGGAAUUGACGGGGGCCCCGCACAAGCGGCGGAGCAUGCGGAUUAAUUCGAUGCAACGCGAAGAACCUUACCUGGGUUUGACAUACACCGGAAAGCCUCAGAGAUGAGGCCCCUUUUGUCGGUGUACAGGUGGUGCAUGGCUGUCGU
rnacentral:rRNA from 1 species